GCCGCUGUAGCACAAAGGUAGUGCAUUGCCUUCCUAAAUUUGGACUGUUUACUGCGAGGCAAAGGUUGUGGGUUCGAGCCCCAUCAGCGGUU